rnacentral:rRNA from 1 species
GUGCCAGCAGCCGCGGUAAGACGAACUGUCCUAACGUUGUUCGGAAUCACUGGGCUUAAAGGGCGCGUAGGCGGUCCGUCAAGUCAGGGGUGAAAUCCUGCAGCUUAACUGUAGAAGUGCCUCUGAUACUGACGGUCUUGAGGGAGAUAGGGGUGUGCGGAACUUCCAGUGGAGCGGUGAAAUGCGUUGAUAUUGGAAGGAACGCCGGAGGCGAAAGCGGCGCACUGGAUCUCUACUGACGCUGAGGCGCGAAAGCCAGGGGAGCAAACGGGAUUAGAUACCCGUGUAGUCC